CGGGAUAGCUCAGUUGGAAGAGCAACAGACGAUUAUGUAGGUUCGAGUCCUACUCCCGCCU
rnacentral:tRNA from 1 species